rnacentral:rRNA from 1 species
AUUGAACGCUGGCGGCAUGCUUUACACAUGCCAGUCGAACGGCAGCGCGGGCUUCGGCCUGGCGGCGAGUGGCGAACGGGUGAGUAAUGCAUCGGAACGUGCCCAGUAGUGGGGGAUAGCCCGGCGAAAGCCGGAUUAAUACCGCAUACGACCUGAGGGUGAAAGCGGGGGACCGAAAGGCCUCGCGCUAUUGGAGCGGCCGAUGUCGGAUUAGCUAGUUGGUGGGGUAAAGGCUUACCAAGGCGACGAUCCGUAGCUGGUCUGAGAGGACGACCAGCCAAACGGGGACUGAAGAACGGCCCCGACCCCCACGGGAGGCAGGCGGGGGGAAUUUUGGACAAUGGGGGCAACCCUGAUCCAGCCAUGGCGCGGGGGGGAAGAAGGCCCUUGGGUUUGAAAACGGUUUUGGUUGGGAAGGAAUCCUCUGGGCUAAUACCCCGGGGGGAUGACGGUACCGGAAGAAUAAGCACCGGCUAACUACGUG